UCCCAUCUACCACAGGUGCAAGUGACAUUCAUAGGCAAAGUAAUAAUAUGCAUAAAGAAACAACCUCAUGGGAGAACCUUAGUCUUAAUUAUUGGCAAGGCCAUCCCCAUUUAGUUGGUAUCAUAUUCUGAUUUGCACAAGUAACAGUC
ensembl:snoRNA